AGAGUUUGAUCAUGGCUCAGGAUUAACGCUGGCGGUAUGCCUAACACAUGCAAGUCGACGGAAUACUAAUUAAGAGAAUCUCACACUAGUGAGAGGUUCUCACGAGUAGUAUUUAGUGGCGGACGGGUGAGUAACACGUUGGAACCUGCCCCGAAGUGGGGAAUAACUGCUCGAAAGAGUAGCUAAUACCCCAUAGUAUCCGGUUUAUCCGGAUUAAAGAUUUAUCGCUUUGGGAGGGGCCUGCGUCUGAUUAGCUAGUUGGUGAGGUAAAAAGCUCACCAAGGCGACGAUCAGUAGCUGGUUCGAGAGGAUGACCAGCCACACUGGGACUGAGAUACGGCCCAGACUCCUACGGGAGGCAGCAGUGAGGAAUCUUCCACAAUGGGCGCAAGCCUGAUGGAGCAAUACCGCGUGCAGGAAGACGCUUUUCGGAGUGUAAACUGCUUUUGUCGUCGAAGAUUAUGACUGUAGACGAAGAAUAAGGACCGGCUAACUACGUG
rnacentral:rRNA from 1 species